rnacentral:rRNA from 1 species
ACCUGACUGCUAUCGGAUUGAUACUAAGCCAUGCGAGUCAUUGUAGCAAUACAAGGCAUACGGCUCAGUAACGCGUAGUCAACCUAACCUAUGGACGGGAAUAACCUCGGGAAACUGAGAAUAAUGCCCGAUAGAACACUAUACCUGGAAUGGUUUGUGUUCCAAAUGAUUUAUCGCCAUAGGAUGGGACUGCGGCCUAUCAGUUUGUUGGUGAGGUAAUGGCCCACCAAGACUAUUACAGGUACGGGCUCUGAGAGGAGUAGCCCGGAGAUGGGUACUGAGACACGGACCCAGGCCCUAUGGGGCGCAGCAGGCGAGAAAACUUUGCAAUGUGCGAAAGCACGACAAGGUUAAUCCGAGUGAUUUGUGCUAAACGAAUCUUUUGUUAGUCCUAGAAACACUAACGAAUAAGGGGUGGGCAAGUUCUGGUGUCAGCCGCCGCGGUAAAACCAGCACCUCAAGUGGUCAGGAUGAUUAUUGGGCCUAAAGCCUCCGUAGCCGGCUCUGUAAGUUUUCGGUUAAAUCUGUACGCUUAACGUACAGGCUGCCGGGAAUACUGCAGAGCUAGGGAGUGGGAGAGGUAGACGGUACUCGGUAGGAAGUGGUAAAAUGCUUUGAUCUAUCGAUGACCACCUGUGGCGAAGGCGGUCUACCAGAACACGUCCGACGGUGAGGGAUGAAAGCUGGGGGAGCAAACCGGAUUAGAUACCCGGGUAGUCCCAGCUGUAAACUAUGCAAACUCAGUGAUGCAUUGGCUUGUGGCCAAUGCAGUGCUGCAGGGAAGCCGUUAAGUUUGCCGCCUGGGAAGUACGUACGCAAGUAUGAAACUUAAAGGAAUUGGCGGGGGAGCACCACAAGGGGUGAAGCCUGCGGUUC